GCUGGCCCAGGCACCACGCGACUCUAAGCGCGCCCAAAGCGACCCUCUGCGCAAACUACCCCCGGGGACGACGUCACCCGUGAGGCGCUAUGGAGUCUAAUCCAGGCACUUUGGAAGGCUGAGGCUGGAGGAUCGAUUGAGGCCAGGAGUUUGGGACCACCCUGGGCAACAUAGCAAGAUCUCAUUUCUGAAAAAAGAAUUAUCAUCCACUCACCCAGAACAGCUCUCCAAACUCCGUGGCAGUCAGAGCUCUGCCUGCAGUGUGACCAUGGACAGCUCUCCAAAGCUUAAACUUCAGUAAAUUGACUCAAGUUUCUUCGGAAAGAACUGUUACAUAAAGAAAGGAUGAUAUCUCUAAAGGUAUGUGGAUUCAUCCAAAUUUGGAGCCAGAAGACUGGGAUGACUAAGCUGAAAGAAGCUCUCAUUGAAACAGUGCA
rnacentral:lncRNA from 1 species